GGCGAACGGGUGCGUAACACGUAUGCAACCUACCUUCAACAGAGGAAUAGCCCGAAGAAAUUCGGAUUAAUGCCUCAUAAUAUUGCGACAUGGCAUCAUGAUGCAAUUAAAGCUCCGGCGGUUGAAGAUGGGCAUGCGGUCCAUUAGUUAGUUGGUGAGGUAACGGCUCACCAAGGCCACGAUGGAUAGGGGGUCUGAGAGGAUGAUCCCCCACACUGGUACUGAGACACGGACCAGACUCCUACGGGAGGCAGCAGUAGGGAAUAUUGGACAAUGGGCGAAAGCCUGAUCCAGCCAUGCCGCGUGCAGGAUGACUGCCCUAUGGGUUGUAAACUGCUUUUAUAUGGAAAGAAACACUCCCACGUGUGGGAGCUUGACGGUACCAUAUGAAUAAGGAUCGGCUAACUCCGUGCCAGCAGCCGCGGUAAUACGGAGGAUCCAAGCGUUGUCCGGAUUUAUUGGGUUUAAAGGGUGC
rnacentral:rRNA from 1 species